AACGAACGCUGGCGGCAUGCCUAACACAUGCAAGUCGAACGAUUGCCUUCGGGUGAUAGUGGCGCACGGGUGCGUAACGCGUGGGAAUCUGCCCUUAGGUUCGGAAUAACAGCUGGAAACGGCUGCUAAUACCGGAUGAUAUCGCGAGAUCAAAGAUUUAUCGCCUGAGGAUGAGCCCGCGUUGGAUUAGGUAGUUGGUGGGGUAAAGGCCUACCAAGCCGACGAUCCAUAGCUGGUCUGAGAGGAUGAUCAGCCACACUGGGAGUGAGACACGGCCCAGACUCCUACGGGAGGCAGCAGUGGGGAAUAUUAGACAAUGGGCGCAAGCCUGAUCCAGCAAUGCCGCGUGAGUGAUGAAGGCCCUAGGGUUGUAAAGCUCUUUUACCCGGGAAGAUAAUGACUGUACCGGGAGAAUAAGCCCCGGCUAACUCCGUG
rnacentral:rRNA from 1 species